UUAAUGUGUGUGUCUAUAUAUGUGUGUAUAAAUACACAUACACACACACACACACACACACACAUAUAUACACACAUAUAU
ensembl:miRNA Gm44461 predicted gene, 44461